rnacentral:tRNA from 1 species
GGUACCUUGGCCGAGCGGUUAGGCACCGGUCUGCAAAACCGUAUACGGCGGUUCGAUUCCGCCAGGUACCU